rnacentral:rRNA from 1 species
UACGUAGGGUGCGAGCGUUGUCCGGAAUUAUUGGGCGUAAAGGGCUCGUAGGCGGUUUGUCGCGUCGGGAGUGAAAACCAGGUGCUUAACACCUGGCUUGCUUUCGAUACGGGCAGACUAGAGGUAUUCAGGGGAGAACGGAAUUCCUGGUGUAGCGGUGAAAUGCGCAGAUAUCAGGAGGAACACCAAUGGCGAAGGCAGCUUGCUGGGACGGUACUGACGCUGAGGCGCGAAAGCGUGGGAAGCAAACAGG